rnacentral:pre_miRNA from 15 species
AAUGUAGCGCUUUAGCUGGUAAACGGGAACCAAAUCGUGAAGUAAAUGCGGAUUUGGUCCCCUUCAACCAGCCGUAGCACUGCAUUCUA